rnacentral:rRNA from 1 species
CAGGUUUACCUGUGUGACUGCGUACCUUUUGUAUAAUGGGUCAGCGACUUAUAUUCUGUAGCAAGGUUAACCGAAUAGGGGAGCCGGAGGGAAACCGAGUCUUAAUUGGGCGUUAAGUUGCAGGGUAUAGACCCGAAACCCGGUGAUCUAGCCAUGGGCAGGUUGAAGGUUGGGUAACACUAACUGGAGGACCGAACCGACUAAUGUUGAAAAAUUAGCGGAUGACCUGUGGCUGGGGGUGAAAGGCCAAUCAAACCGGGAGAUAGCUGGUUCUCCCCGAAAGCUAUUUAGGUAGCGCCUCGUGAAUUCAUCUCCGGGGGUAGAGCACUGUUUCGGCUAGGGGGCCAUCCCGGCUUACCAACCCGAUGCAAACUGCGAAUACCGGAGAAUGUUAUCACGGGAGACACACGGCGGGUGCUAACGUCCGUCGUGAAGAGGGAAACAACCCAGACCGCCAGCUAAGGUCCCAAAGUCAUGGUUAAGUGGGAAACGAUGUGGGAAGGCCCAGACAGCCAGGAUGUUGGCUUAGAAGCAGCCAUCAUUUAAAGAAAGCGUAAUAGCUCACUGGUCGAGUCGGCCUGCGCGGAAGAUGUAACGGGGCUAAACCAUGCACCGAAGCUGCGGCAGCGACACUGUGUGUUGUUGGGUAGGGGAGCGU